UUGAUCGAUACGGGAGAGAUUGCGAUAGCAACGCCGAAGGUGAAAGAGGCACAAACUCUCAGGCAAAAGGACCGUAUACGGACG
rfam:Megamonas hypermegale ART12/1 draft genome.